GUCUAUGGGAGAGACGAUCACCCUGUCCUGUACUGGAAACAGCAACAAUGUUGGAAAGUAUAAUGUGGGCUGGUACCAGCAGAUUUCUCCUGGUGCCCCCCAAACUGUCAUGCUUGGAAUUUCACGGCCCUUAGGAAUCCCUGAUCAGUUCUCUGGCUCCAAUACUGGCAACACUGACUCUCUGACCAUCUCGGGCCUCCAGCCUGAGGAUGAGGCUGUUUAUUACUGCUCAUCAUGGGAUGAUAGCCUGAGUGCUCACACAGUGCUCCAGACACAUGGAGAACUGAGACAAAAACUGCCCUUGGCCUCCCGUGAGGCAAAUAACCCCAUGACUGCCUGUGACAAAUGCAGACGAUGACUGUGGCCAACCCUGUGUUGUCAGUGUUAGAGGAAGUGAGGUUCAGCACAUUGCACCUUCUAAUUGUCAGUGGGGUUUUUUCCCACGUAG